rnacentral:tRNA from 1 species
GCGGGCAUAGUUCAGUGGUAGAACAAUAGCCUUCCAAGCUUUUUAUGCGGGUUCGAUUCCCGCUGCCCGCU